UCCUAAAGGGUAUUUUGCUUGCUCACUGUUUGCAUAGUCGUGGGAGCCCUCCUGCCCUACUUUCCUUCCCUUUUCAUCUCCUCUUACUGCUGGUCUCUUGGUGUUAGCAUGUUUUAGGUGGCCUUGUGCAGUCAGCAUAGAGAAGGAUCAAUUUGGUCUUGCUUCUUAAUGGUGAGUCUGCUUCUUAAUGGUGAAAUCACUCCUUGUCGCUGAACUGUGAUUACUUAUCUGUUUGGACUUCUUCAUGCUACCACGUAGGUCUCAUGAGAGGAGCAUUGCCCUUAGCCCACACUCCCCUCGGGGGCCCUUCCAGUCCCUCCCUUCCCCCACAGAGCCUGCACUCCUGAUGUCCGGGGCUGCAUGGUUAUGCCACCAUGCCCCUCUCCUUAGACCCUGUUGUCCAGUUUUCCUGGCGUUUUGAACUUUAUAGACAUUGUACAGUAUGCAUUACUUUGUGUCUGAUUUAUUUUAACAUUAUGUUUGAGAUUCAUAAAUGUUGUAAUUUCUUCAUUUUCAUUGCUGUCUGCUAUUCACCUUUCUAAAUAUGCUACAUGUUUCCGAAUUUUGUUGUUACAAAUGUUGCUCUUGGACCACACAUUUAUACAUUCUGUUGUAUAUACAUGUAGGGAAGGAAUUGCUGAAUGGCACAGAAUUUAUGUAAUUAACUGGUUUCAAGUUAAGAUCAACAGCAUGUAUUUUAUUUUAUUAUUUUUUAAUUACAAGUGUAAAAUCACAGUGGUUCAGCAGCCCUCCUCCUCCUCUCCUCCCCUUGGUGACCACUUGUCGCUUCUCAGUGUCUGUGAGUCUAAUGCAGCUUUGUUCCUUCACAACUGCGUGUCUUUUAAGAAAACUGUUUUCCAAAACAAAAAUAAUUUAGUGAGUAGAAUACAUUAUUUUGCAAAUCUUAACUUUGGAUAAUAGAACAGCUAGAUUCUCAUCUGCUUCUGCCUCCCAUCUGUUGUGAUAGGUCAUUCUGACUGAAGUAUAUGAAGAAUAUAUUUUAUUAGCUUUUUCAGGUAAUUGUGGAUAUUUUUCUUGGCAAGUAACAGUUCUUGAUGGUUAGUUGCAGUGUCGAACCUGAAUUUUUCCUACUCUAUUAACUUAAAAUCCAUUGCCUCCCUUAUACUCUGAGUGAAUCUGUUACCCAUCCAUGAUUUUUGUUGUUUGUUUGUCAGGUCUUCAGAUUUAUUCUAACAUUAUGUUUGAGAUUUAUUUGUAGCAUCACUGAUGGUCACUGGUUAGGUAAUGGUUUGCUAAGUCAGGCAGAUCUUCCUGAUACCAAAACCAUCCAUUAUUCCAUAUAGAAAAUUCACAGUUGUUCCUAUCACCACAGGAUCUCAUCAGUAAAGUCUUUAAAUGUGGAAACUUUUUCAAGUGGACAGUGAUGGGUACAACUUUUCCAAACUUGUAAUUUUUUGCCUGAAAGCUGAUAUUUUAUGAUAGGCUACCAAUAGUGUCAGCUCUUCUCCUUGAAGUAAUAGGCUCAUUUCCUCCUUUUUUGAGAAAAUGUCUGACAAAUAUCCAGGUCUGAAUAACCGUAGUUUGGUCUGUUAGGCAUUCUUUCUAGUAAACUGAUGUUGAGUGGACGAAGUGGUCCGUUCAGUUCACUGCGCAAGUGCUUUUCUCAGGACCCUUGCAGAAAUGCUUUAUGCACACUCCCUUCUUCAUCACAGACAACAGUACUCAAAAGUCGUGUGCUUACAGGUUGAGAUUUAACACAGUUAAUGAUCUCAUCGUAUCAAGGACAUUAAGUGGAACUGGCCUUGUUCUAGAAGCCAAGCAUGUGGCAGUGAGGAACGCCGCAGCCGUGGGCCUGCUCUCUGUGCCAGCCUUUGUUCUCAAGAAGGAUCUGCCACUCCUACCCCGAUGCCUCUGCACCAGCAGCACAGAUGUCAACAUUGAAGAAGGCAAAUAGCAUCUUGGUAUUAGUGUGAAAAUGUAUGAACUAAAUUUUAUCUUGGGUAAUGUAUAUUAGGAAAUAACAGUUCAGUAUCAUCUAUGGUGUCAGGCAUCCUCUGGGGGUCUUCAAUAAGGGGGACUCCCAUGUCACAUCUUACUGACAUGUGGGACUUCUGGAAAUAUGCUGAAUGUGAGCCUGUUGUCAGUUACAUGCAUUGCACAUACCACCUGUCUCUUUUUGCUUCCCUUUUAACUGUUUUAGUGUCUCUUGAUCACAAAUUCAUUUCUAAUCUAGUCAAAUCUCUCAAAUUUUUCCUUUGUAGAUUCUGCUCUCUUUAGUUCUGUUUAUUAAUGAUUCUUCUCGUCAUGAGAUCCUAAAAGUAUUUUUCAGUGUGUGCUUUCUUCUGUCAGCACUGUCCAAAGAAAUAUGUGAACAAAAAAACGCAAGCCACACAGGUAAUUUUCAGUUGUUUAGUUGUGACAUAUCAAAAACCCAAAAGAAACGGGAUCAUAUUUUUUUUAUUUCAAUAUAUUCAAACUAUAAUUUCAGCCUGUACUCAAUGUAAGAAAUACUGAUGUUAUCUGUUGUUUCAUCCUAAAUGUCCUGUGUAUACUUUACACUUUCAGCCCAUAUCACUUACGACUACUCACAUAUCAAAUGCCUAGUAGCUACAUGUGACUAGGGGCUACCAUCCUGAAGCAUGGUCCUCUGUGUUGUUUUGCCUUUCAUAUUUCGAUGUACAACCCUCUUGGAACUGAUAUUAAGUUUUUUAGGUUGUGAGGUAAAGGUCAAGUUUAAUUUACUUACAUAUGGAAAUACAGUUUGCUUAAAACAAUCAUUGACAUAACUGUUCUGCCCCCCACUCCCUUGUGUCCCCUACUCUUCAGAACCACCUUUGUUAUAAAUCAGGUGUCCACAUAUGUGACCCAUGUAUUUUGGGCUGUCUCUUCUACUCCACUGGUUGAUUUGUCUUUGUGCCAACAGCAUGCUCUCUUAAUUACUGUAAUUUUGUCAUAAACCUCAUAUUCAGAAAGUCCUCUUACCUUGAACUCUUCAAAAUUAUCUUAGUUAUUGCAUGUCUGUAUAUUGAAAAUUAUCUUGUCAAUUAAAAAAAUCUUACUGA